AUCGCAGAGUUAAGGUCCUGUCUCAAUCCUGUACUGCUGAAGCAGCUGAUCGAGGUCUUCAGGAUCACCACACACUUCAGACAGGUGUGUGGACAGACCGGAGAUAAACUCAGCAGGUUGCUGGUCCUCCAGGACAUCACUGUUUUUGUGUCAGAUGCAGAUAAAGAGUCACUAGGAACAGGUCACUGCAUCUUUUGUAAUGUAAAUGCUGGAAUAAAAAGCAGCCAUGCUACAGCAUCUAAAAUGGAGACUUCUAUUAUAGUGGCUCUUUAACAUAAGAGACUUGGGAUGGUGGAAGGAGCAGAAGAUCAGAGAUCUACUGGUGCCCCUUAGGGGAUUGAUUUAUCUAUAAUUAUCUAUAAUAUCUACUUAAUGUUCUAAUGAAGCUAUAAUUGGUCAUUAUUCUGUUUUAUAAAUCUAUUCAAUAUAUUCUAGUGUUCAAUAGUUUGGGGUCAGAAAGUUUUUUCUUUCUUUAAGGUAUUCAGCAAGGGUGCAUUAAACUGAUAAAAAGCAACAGUAAAAACGUUUACAUUGUUGGACAAAAAUCCUAUUAAAAUAAAUAAAUAAAUGCUGCUCUUUUAAAACCUCUAAAGUAACAUGAAAAAAAGAUAUUACUGUUUCCAAAAAUGAAGCAGUGCAACUGUUUUUGAGAUGCUAAAAAAAAAAAGUUUAUUGAGCACCAAAACAGAAUAUUUUAAUAAUUUAUUUUGGAUUGUAUGACACAGAAGACGAGUAAUGGCUGGUGAAAAUUAAACAUCAUAGUAAAACAGAACUUGUUUCU